rnacentral:rRNA from 1 species
GGACGAACGCUGGCGGCGUGCCUAACACAUGCAAGUCGAGCGAGGAGAUCCUUCGGGAUGAUCCUAGCGGCGGACGGGUGAGUAACACGUGGGCGAACCUGCCUCAUAGAGAGGAAUAGCCUUCCGAAAGGGAGAUUAAUACCUCGAUAACAUUGCAGUUUCGCAUGGAACAGCAAUUAAAGGAGCAAUCCGCUAUGAGAUGGGCCCGCGGCGCAUUAGCUAGUUGGUGAGGUAACGGCUCACCAAGGCGACGAUGCGUAGCCGACCUGAGAGGGUGAUCGGCCACAUUGGGACUGAGACACGGCCCAGACUCCUACGGGAGGCAGCAGUGGGGAAUAUUGCACAAUGGGGGAAACCCUGAUGCCAGCAACGCCGCGUGAGUGAUGACGGCCUUCGGGUUGGUAAAGCUCUGUCUUCAGGGACGAUAAUGACGGUACCUGAGGAGGAAGCCACGGCUAACUACGUGCCAGCCGCCGC